rnacentral:lncRNA from 10 species
GACUCCCAGGAGCGUCCGGCCGGAAGAGACAGUGGGAGAUGAGGAAACUGAGAUUGGGAGGGGGACGUGAUGGGGUGCCGAAUUUUCAGGGAAGGAACCAAAUGGAUGUAUGGCCCAUGCCUGGGUUUGAAUCCCAGUUCUGGCCUUCAUUCCUCCAGGCCUCCAUUUCCUUGUCUGCACUAUGGGGCCAUGGUGAGAACUCUGAAAUAACACCAACUGCCUGGUGCUUGGUCCUGCACCCAGGCUGGUAUGAAAAAGGUGCCGAGAAGGUCCCAUG